GACGAACGCUGGCGGCGUGCCUAAUACAUGCAAGUCGAGCGAACGGACGAGAAGCUUGCUUCUCUGAUGUUAGCGGCGGACGGGUGAGUAACACGUGGAUAACCUACCUAUAAGACUGGGAUAACUUCGGGAAACCGGAGCUAAUACCGGAUAAUAUUUUGAACCGCAUGGUUCAAAAGUGAAAGACGGUCUUGCUGUCACUUAUAGAUGGAUCCGCGCUGCAUUAGCUAGUUGGUAAGGUAACGGCUUACCAAGGCAACGAUGCAUAGCCGACCUGAGAGGGUGAUCGGCCACACUGGAACUGAGACACGGUCCAGACUCCUACGGGGGGCAGCAGUAGGGAAUCUUCCGCAAAGGGCGAAAGCCUGACGGAGCAACGCCGCGUGAGUGAUGAAGGUCUUCGGAUCGUAAAACUCUGUUAUUAGGGAAGAACAUAUGUGUAAGUAACUGUGCACAUCUUGACGGUACCUAAUCAGAAAGCCACGGCUAACUACGUG
rnacentral:rRNA from 1 species